UCUAAGAGCAGAGAAAAGCCCACAAGUUAUCUUUCUCCUAGUCUUUAUGAGACCCAAGAGAGAUCACAGUCAUUACCUAUACUCUCUAGAAAUGCAAUUUGCUGUGUUUUUAUAUAAACUGUAUCUUCAGCAAUUAAUUCUACAAAAUACAUUUGGUCCUGAAGGUCAUUCUUAACCACAGAAGCGUUUUUCAAAGGCCAAGUGUCUCAGCACAGCACAUGGAAUAGACCCAAGAAGGCCGACUGCAUCCUUCAUGUUCCUGCCACCUGCUGCCUUCCAGAAGAUAAUCAGAAGCCAUCUGUCAGAUUUCAGAGAACGGUUGAGCCAAUUCAUUCACGGGCUGCCUAUCCUGGGUUCCAGAAUCCUAAUUGAACAGGUGAAGUCGGAGCGCUCACCUGCCCUCCAGCACAGCCAGGGUGUAUUUGCCUCAGCGCCCUGGUAGGAGUCCCGUGUUGAAGCAGUGCUCCCUGAAGGCCCAUGAUGGAUGACGUCCUAUGGCUUUUCUACAGAAAGAAUCCUGCAUCUCUGACUCAGUGAGUCCAGGACAUUGCUCCUCUCAGAAGCCCAGCUGCCCUCCGCACAAGCACUCCUGUUUUUGCUUCCAGACAACGCCCUGUCCCCAGGGAGGCUGAUCAUUCGGCUGCUGACCCCGGGGAGCAAGCCAGGCAGUGCACCUCCUGGCAGGGGAGGAGGCAGCAUGUGAGCCCUGCGCAGUGGAAUGAUGCCCACAAUCACCUGUGCCAAAGAAUACAGAGGCCCAGGACCCACGUGAUGAGGGGAGCUGGAGUUCUCCUCACACGUAUACCUAGCAUGCGGCAUGAUGCACCGUGUCUGGAUGCCUAUCCCAUUACUGAUGAGCCAAUCCAUCUGUAAAUUUCUGGGAGAGAGUGGGUGACAUGCAGAAGGAAGCAUAACUCUUGGUUAAAGAGAAUAUAAAGCUAUUUGUUGAUUUUAUUGCCAGCAAUUUUGAUUUCCUAUUCACCAAUGUAUUUCGUAUUUUUUCCCAAAGUCUUAAAAAAGACAUUAGUAGUUUUUCAAGAUCUCUUUUCUAGGUACAUUCUUGUUUGCUCUUUCAAGCAGUAAUUUCAGUAACAGCUGAGAUAAAUUAAAAUCAAAUUUACUUGACAAAUGGAAUAAAAGACAAAAUAUCAAGUCAGAAUUAGCUUCCCGCAAAAGAAGAGGUGUCAAGUCACUUCCUUCAUUCCCAAGAACGAGUGCCUUUCUUCUUGUUUUUUUUUUUUUUUUUUCCCAGAACAUUCUGGAGAGUAGGUGACCCAGUAUACUUUCAAUCAAGUGGUGAAGAACAAGCAAUGAGAGGGGUCCACAGCAGCUCCCAGGAGUGCCUUCGCCUUGGGUUAAAGGUAGCCCAGAAACUGAGAAGGAAAAGGAAAUCCCGAACAUGUAGAGCAUGGGGUCUGAAGUGCUCCUGAGACACAGCAGAGAUGUUUCAGGUGCUGCUUGGGUGCUGGGUUGACUCCUGACCACGACUAUGGAACACAGCAUCUCUGAAUUAACAGAAGAAACAAGACUGGGCAUAUGCCCAUACAGUCUGUUGGGCAAGCAGGAUGGGGAACUCCGGUACAUACCCAUGGACAUGAGAGUGAGGAUGUAACAGCUUGAGAGGCCUGGGAGACAGAAUUUCUGGAAGUCGGGAGCUAUUGCCCAGAGUUAUGGCUGCUGACAGCAGAGUUUGGAAACCUGGGACUGCAGAAAACAGUUCUGCUGCCACUGCACCCCCAUCAUUUCCUGGAGGAGGGGAAGAGGGAGAUCCCCAUGAGUCCCCGACAGAAGUGGUCGGAGAUAAACCCCAACCCAAGAGGCCUGUGCUGCUGCGAGUUUCUGGGGCUUCUGGAAGUGGUUUGCUGGCAACGUGGGCGGUACUGGCACGCCAUUCCUAAGAUCAGCCACGAGGGCACACACAGAUAGCAGGUGAAAACGUCAUCUCAGGCUUUACCCUCGAACCACCGAGGAAACGCCUCUGGUCAGCGCCAGAGAUAGGCCCACGGAACUUCAUGAAAGGCGCACUAAUGGAGCAUAAACACACCUCCUUCUCCCAGACACUUGGGGCUGUGUUUACAGAUUAAAUCUCAGGAUGUGUAUAUUUGGUGCUCUGAUUCCAGGAUAUUAAUGGCACAGAGAACUUGUCUGGUGAUGGCUCAGUCACAUUAACGCCUGAUGGACGGUUCAGAUGUGAAAGGUGCACUGAGACAUACGGAGGACUCCAGGACUUGGCAUGUGCACAUCCCAAGGUUGCAGGGCUGGAAUGUGAAUUCAUUUGCAGUUUAACCCUGCAGGAGACGAGUCAUCUUGAAUACUGCAGCCCCAGAAGGCAGGGUCUUGCUAAAUAGAAGGAAAUGUGCAAAGCAUCUACCUGGUGCACUGGCAGCUUCACAAUAAGAGGCUCCAGGAACUCGGGAGGAGAACAUGGUGACAGCACUGGAUAUGUUUUAAGCAGCAGCAUGAGCUAGUGUGCAGGGCACCAGGGCUGAUUAGAAAAGUCCAUCUCUUGUUUUACCUUAUAUCCUUGCUGGGUGCCACAUCCAUAGCUCUUUAUAGAAGAAGGAAUCCACUGAGCUGAAGCCAGGACAGCCCUGGGGUGCCCCCGGGACUUCUGCUGUCUAAUUUACUACUAAGCACCAAGCAGCUUCCUUUCUUAGUGCUUUGCUGUAGAUACUGGAAGUCCCCUCACUCCUGCCAAGGACACACCAGAGUCCCAAAUCAACCAAACCAAGUGCCCAAGGCAGGUGGAAAAGAAAGAGUUCUGAUGCUCAGAGGGCUUCCAUAGCCUUGGAAACUCAUGACUGGAGCAUAGGGAGAUUACUGAUGCCAUAGACAGGAGUGUCAAUUGGUAAAGUCAACAACAGGAGUCACUGUGCACUUACUCCUCAUGUAGGAUCUCUAUCCUUAAUGUGCUGUACAUUGAGACUUAAUGCUAUAAUGAGUACUCAAAAAGUAUAUUUCACUUUGUGUUUCUAUGGGGGUGCAAACUGUUGAAAUCUUUACUUAAUGCAUACUAAACUGAUCUUCUGUAAAAAAAAAAAAAAAAAAAAAAGAAAGAAAUUAUCAAUUCCCAACUUGACUCUCACUGGGAUUAAACAUGACAAUAGGUCUGAUCUGAUUUUAUCAUCAUUUAAAAAAUCAUCUGUCAUUUUUCACUUUAUGUUUCUGUGUGGGAGCAAACUGUUGAAAUCUUUACUUAAUGUAUACUAAGCUGAUCUUCUGUAUAUUAAGAUAAUCGAAAAUGAAUCUUGAUGUGAAUGGAAGGGGAGAGGGAGUGGGAAAGGGGAGGGUUGCGGGUGGGAGGGACGGU